GAUGGCCCAUCAUUCACUGUUAUGAGACAAAGUUCUUUAACAUUCCAAAGCUCUGACCCAGAACAGAUGCGACAGAGUUUGCUGACUGCAAUCCGUUCGGGAGAGGCUGCUGCCAAAUUGAAAAGGGAUGGAUAAUGCAUCUGUAAACCUGAAACGUACCCAUUCUCCUUGAAGGCAAAUGUUAGGGCAUCUGCCUUAACUUUGGCAUAAAGAUGUUCACUGAUCCUGGCUUACUGGACUUUAAUCCAGUACUAAUGACUUGAAGCACACUGUGAACUACAAACAUAUUUUCAUUCAUCAUGGCAGAUGCUCUUUGAGACUUGCAUUGUGAGGACAGAAGUUCAAUUAAUGUGUUUCCCAUUUGUUCUUCUGACAGAUAGAGGCCAAAUGACACAAUGGGAAGAUCUUCAACUAAGUGUCAAGAAAAAAAACUAGUGUUCUAGUGUUCUAGAGUCCUCUUUGCCACUUAAAA
rnacentral:lncRNA from 1 species